GUGUCAGCAGCCGCGGUAAGACGUAGGGGGCAAGCGUUGUCCGGAUUCAUUGGGCGUAAAGAGCGUGUAGGCGGCCAGGUAGGUCGGAUGUGAAAACUCGAGGCUCAACCUCGAGCUGUCAUCCGAAACCAUCUGGCUAGAGUCCGGAAGAGGAGAGUGGAAUUCCUGGUGUAGCGGUGAAAUGCGCAGAUAUCAGGAAGAACACCUAUGGCGAAGGCAGCUCUCUGGGACGGUACUGACGCUGAGACGCGAAAGCGUGGGGAGCGAACAGGAUUAGAUACCCCGGUAGUCC
rnacentral:rRNA from 1 species